UACGUAGGUGGCGAGCGUUAUCCGGAAUGAUUGGGCGUAAAGGGUGCAUAGGCGGCCUGCUAAGUCUGGAGUGAAAGGUACCGGCUCAACCGGUACAGGCUCUGGAAACUGGCGGGCUAGAGAGCAGGAGAGGGCGGUGGAACUCCAUGUGUAGCGGUAAAAUGCGUAGAUAUAUGGAGGAACACCGGUGGCGAAAGCGGCUCUCUGGCCUGUAACUGACACUGAGGCUCGAAAGCGUGGGGAGCAAACAGG
rnacentral:rRNA from 1 species